CUCUCUCUUGACCGGUUACCUAAGGGCCUUCUCCCCCACUUUGCUUUCUUUUUCACACAAAACACACACACACACACAACUCCAUCUCUCUCUCUCACCUUCACCGGCCACCACUCCAUUGGAUAACCACCACCAUCUUUUUGCGACGAGAUUCACCGAGGAACUUCGUAAAAAUCUCUAGGCUCCUUCAUCUCAAACUAUUAAGGUUCUAACUAAUUCUUGUGGGGGCACUUGGAAGCUAGGCUUUUAUGCGGUAUUACAAGAGCAGGCAGCAACCUUUUGAGUUAGAUGUUAUGGCUUGCCGUAGUUAGGCAACUACUGAUGGAGGCUGAACUUUUGUGAUGGAAAUACUUAGAUGAUAUCAUAGUGUAGGCUUGACUCAUUUUUUUGUAUCUGAUAAUGGUUAUGACUACAUUUCCACUAAUGAGACAAGUUAAAUAAUAUGUAAUUAUAUUUAUUCAAACCUCCAUUUUUUUGUGGUCAAUGGUCAUUGUAAUUAUUGCAUAGAGUUCUGGCUUACUUCGGGAAUAUCUUUAUGGAAUUAUUAUGAUA